AUGGCCUACGUGGACCACGCCUUCUCCAUCACCGACGAGGACGACCUCGUCGGCGGGGCCAUAGGGGGCCCGCGCGGCGCCCCCGUCAAGGAGAUCGCCUUCGCCGCCGCCCUCCUCGCCUUCGGGGCCCUCGGCGUCGUCGCCGGCCUCUUCAUGGCCGCCAACCAAGUCGGCGGUGACACCGCGCACGGAAUCUUCUUCAUGGUUUUGGGCAUUGUAAUGUUCAUCCCUGGAUUCUACUACACAAGAAUUGCCUACUACGCAUACAAAGGAUACAAGGGCUUCUCUUUUUCAAACAUCCCACCAAUCUAA
rnacentral:rRNA from 1 species